UACGAAGGAUCCAAGCGUUAUCCGGAUUUAUUGGGUUUAAAGGGUGCGUAGGCGGGCUAUUAAGUCAGUGGUGAAAGCCCCAAGCUUAACUUGGGAAUUGCCAUUGAUACUGAUGGUCUUGAGUACACUUGAAGUGGGCGGAAUGUGUCAUGUAGCGGUGAAAUGCUUAGAUAUGACACAGAACACCGAUUGCGAAGGCAGCUCACUAAAUUGUAACUGACGCUGAGGCACGAAAGCGUGGGGAUCAAACAGGAUUAGAUACCCUGGUAGUCCACGCCCUAAACGAUGAUUACUCGAUGUGUGCAAUACACCGUACGCGUCUGAGCGAAAGCAUUAAGUAAUCCACCUGGGGAGUACGACCGCAAGGUUGAA
rnacentral:rRNA from 1 species